GGCCUUCAUGGUUCGGAAUGCUCGUCACGGCCAGGGCCCCGGUUUGGGUCGUGAUAGAGCAUUUGCCUCGAAGCAUAGCCCAACUUGGUGCUCUUCGAUGCUUGGACUUAUCACAUUGCAAGAGGCUUACACAGCUGCCAGAAUUUCCAGUUCAAUUAGAUAUAAUAGAAGCAGACUGGACAAAUUAUUGGAUCUGUAAUUCGCUAUUUCGGAAUCUCUCAUUAUUGCAGCACGACAUCUCUGCUUCAGAUUCCUUGUCGCUUAGAGUGAUUACAGGUUGGCGGUGGCAUGGGAUGCCAAGGUUCCCAUACCAGGGAAUUGAUGGUGUAUCGGUCUCUUUGUCUGAAAAUUGGUACAUACAUGAUAGCUUCUUGGGAUUUGCUGUAUGUUAUCAUGGCAUAUUAACUGACAUCACGGCUCACUUUAUUCCCUUAUAUGAUGAUGGGAUGUCGUGCAUCACACGGAAACUUGUCUUAUCCAACCACUCAAAAUGUUCUCUAGAACGUAAUGGUAUUCAUUUUUUCUUGAUACCUUUUGUUGGUUUAUGGGAUAUUUCUAAGGCAAAUGGAAAAACGCCAAAUGACUAUAGGCACAUCAUGUUAUUUUCCUCCGAAAAAAUUAAGUAUAUAUUUCGUUUGUUGUAUAAGAUGAACUAGGAGUUUAGGCCUUGUUGCAAAUAAAGGAAAAUAACAAUGAAUAUUGCCUCGGGACAAGGAGGACCAGAUUUGAUGAUAGCGAACACCAUGAUGAAGCCAGUUGCUCCUCUUCUAAGAAACAAACAUCAACUGCCAAGAAUAUAGAGCUCAUUGAUGGGUGAUUUACAUUUCAUCUUGUCUCCAUUUAUGCUGGAUUAACCAAGAUGAAUAUGUGCAAGACAAGAAAACUUUGCCACAACAGCUGGAUGAAAGAAGCAUUGAACCUACUAGUAAGUUCCCUCACAUCAAAAGGCAAACGGAGCAAAGGAGAACUAUUUCCAGUAAUCAAACGUACCUCCACCGAUAGAGCAACUAUUCUUUCAUUGGGAUGUAGAGCUCAAAUACUUUCUCGGCCACCACCAAGAUCUACCGAAGUAGCAUAGUUCUUUAUCGAUUCCAAUCCACUGUUAAAUCUGCGUGUGGUAGCAAUACGAAGUACAUUUUUAUCCUCUCACAAUUAGAGUUGUGUGACAUCGCAUAGAAUUAGAAUCAAACAAGUUGUGUGACUUUUUCUGCUACCUUGGAAAAUUUACAAUUGAACGAGCAAUUCAAUUGCAGAGAAGAGAGAUGGGCAUGCAUUGGUUUUUGGACUUUUGGAGGGAGGUGAUUCGACUGGAUAUGGAGCAAUUACAACUUACUGAAGACAUGACCCUAGAUAGGAAGGUGUGGAGUAUGCAUAUUAGGGUAGAAGGCUAGUUGCAAGGUGUGCUUUAAUUUGUUUUUGUUGUCCCUACUAAAGUCGCAACAAAAUUUUAAAUUUUCGGAUGUAAAUAG